rnacentral:piRNA from 1 species
UGGUUUUGGUUUUAGUUUUGAACUGUGGA